rnacentral:sRNA from 1 species
AAUGUGGUCAGUGAUCAUGGUGGACAGAGUGUAAUUCUGCUUCCUUCGAGCUAGGAGCACAGGGCCCGCCCCAGGCUAACGCUCUGUGAACCUCUGUGAGAAAGGAAGAAGGGAGCCAGGAAAACAGCGGAUCAAAGAUCACCAUCCCGAGGGGAAAGGACGGCUUUGGCUUCACCAUCUGCUGCGACUCUCCAGUCCGAGUCCAGGCCGUGGAUUCCGGGGGUCCGGCGGAACGGGCAGGGCUGCAGCAGCUGGACACGGUGCUGCAGCUGAACGAGAGGCCUGUGGAGCACUGGAAAUGUGUGGAGCUGGCCCACGAGAUCCGGAGCUGCCCCAGUGAGAUCAUCCUACUCGUGUGGCGCAUGGUCCCCCAGGUCAAGCCAGGACCAGAUGGCGGGGUCCUGCGGCGGGCCUCCUGCAAGUCGACACAUGAUCUCCAGUCACCCCCCAACAAACGGGAGAAGAACUGCACCCAUGGGGUCCAGGCACGGCCCGAGCAGCGUCACAGCUGCCACCUGGUAUGUGACAGCUCUGAUGGGCUGCUGCUCGGCGGCUGGGAGCGC